UACGAAGGGGGCUAGCGUUGCUCGGAAUUACUGGGCGUAAAGGGCGCGUAGGCGGAUCGUUAAGUCAGAGGUGAAAUCCCAGGGCUCAACCCUGGAACUGCGUCCGAUACUGGUUGGCUUGAAUCCGGGAGAGGGACGUGGAAUUCCUGGUGUAGCGGUGAAAUGCGCAGAUAUCAGGAGGAACACCGGUGGCGAAGGCGGAUCUCUGGGCCUUACCUGACGCUCAGGCGCGAAAGCUAGGGGAGCGAACAGG
rnacentral:rRNA from 1 species